CAGGAUAGACCGGGGAAAUAUCAAGUCCCAGAGAACUGCUGCAUCCAGCACAUGCCACCCAGGUGGUGGGUUAGAAAGGGCGGAAUGAAGGGGGAAGACAGAGAGAAUGGAGAUGCCACUAUCCUGCAGUGAGGUAAAAGUUAUAGGAAACAAAGAAGUAACCUUUUCUGGUACCUCAAUGCAUUGGACAUAGUUUUCAAAUCACUACGACAUGUGUGUGAAUUCUUCUGAGUUCUGUAAGGCUUUGUCCCCAGCUUUUGCCACAGGAAAGCUUCUUUGCAGUGACUCCAUCCCCUAUGCCCGUCCUUCUGGCAUCCUCGCUCCAUCCUAUGGUUGCUGUGGAGACGGCUCCAGCCCCUCAGGUCCUGUGUGUGCUGGAGGGACAUGGAGCCCUUCAGAUUUUGUAGGGUGAAGUGCCCUGAAGCCAAGGGAUUUUGCCCUGCCUGUCCUGCCCUCCUCUCUCUGCCAGCAUCAGCCUUGCCAAACUCUUCACCUAAGGCUGGCUUCCAGACAUGAGUAAGAAGAGAUGAGAUUUUGGGGCAAGGAAGACCCAGCUCGGAAACACACUUGUGAAUCUGGAUAUCUGUGUCUUAAAUAAUUUUGUGGUUUUUUUUCUUACUACUAAAUUCAUAUUCAUUGUGGAAGAUUUGGAAACUUUUGACAAGCCAAAAGAAGAAAGUAAAAAUCACUAGAUAAUCCUACCACCAAGAGACAGCCGCUGUUCAUAUUUUAGUUUACCAACUCACAUACGCAUUUUCCUACACAACUAACUCCCUAUUUAUGUGAUUGUCCACUUAGGACUUGUGAAUCUUUCCAUGUCAUUCACUUAAAAACAAGUAAACGUUGUAUUAUUAAAAUAGAGUUUAAGGCAAUAAACCAAAAUGUUAACAGUGAUUAACUCUGGAGGGGGGCAGAACUCUUAUGGUUUUUCUUUGCAUUUUAAAGCUUUUCAAGCUUUUAAAAUAGUAAAUGUAUAUUACUUUUUUUUUUUUUUUUUGUGACGGAGUCUCUCUCUGUCCCCCAGGCUGGAGUGCAGUGGCACGAUCUUGGCUCACUGCAAACUCCGCCUCCCAGGUUCACGCCAUU
rnacentral:lncRNA from 10 species